UUAAAAGAUUAUAAAUUUUUUUAUUUUAAGGAAAAGCUUGGGGAAUAAUCAGGAAUUCUGGUUUUGUCUUAUAGAUAGAGAUGAAAUUAGCCAUUUUCCUCAAGAAAAAGUGAUACUUCUGAAUUUCAGCUCUUCAGUAAUGAGAACUGGACUGUUUUCACUUUGACCUCCACUUCCUGUUAGUGGGGAAACCCCUUCCCAGAGGUGCUGUGAGAAAGGUUGCUGGGGAAAGGGCUUCUAGAUCCCAGGAUAAGAAGUUCAAGAGAGUCCAGCAAUAUUGUCAUUAGAAUAAUGGUCUUCAUUAAGUACUAGUUUUCAUCAUCCUGAAGCUUCAUUUUCACCAAAGGCAGCAGCUAGGGAGGAGAGGCUGUGAGAGUGGGGGAGGAAAACUGUAGCGGCGUUGCAGAGAUCUUGAAGUGAAUGUGUUAAGACAGGGAAGAAGCAGAGAUUUGCAAUCCACUGACUGAAAUAAAAGGACACAUAUUGGCCGAGGUUACAACAAGAAAAUAAGGGUUUUAGUUUACCUCUAGUUAAUUCCUUAGGUUUACAUCUUAGUUCCCUUCUUAUCUUGUGUGAACAUAUAAAUUUGGGUUUCAUGAAGCAUUUUAUUUUCCUUUCUGAAAGAGACCUGGGGGCCACUGUAGCAGUUUAGUUGAGGAACAUAUCAGAAACUCUUCAUCAAUUUCUGUCCCCUCCUGUCUUAGGCUGACCAGUUCCCUGGUGCGUUACCUGCUUGUGCUACUGAUCCCAACUGCAGAACUUCUCAUUCAUCCCCAAGGCCUCCAGGCAGUAUCCAAUGGGGAAUCCGCUCUAAAAGGAACCAGACCAACGUUGUCCAGCCCCUUCUUUCUGUAGCUACUUCUGUGUGAGGAAAGGAUAGAAAACGUUCAGGACAUCAUCAUACAGGCUCCUCAUCUACAAAGUUCCAGUAGCAGUGACGCCUACACGGAAGACUUGGAACUGCAAACAGAGGCUGGGGUCACCUCAGUGACAUCUCUUGACGCUGUCCAACCAGGAGUUUGGUUUUUGUUCUGGAGGUGAAGAAGAUAACAGACUGUACUAAAGGACUAAAAUAAUUUGUCUAUAC